rnacentral:lncRNA from 1 species
UAGGACUCCCUUUUCAAGAGAACAAAUUUAGAAAUUGGCUCCUUUGAUCAUUAGGUAUGAGUAGGAAUAUUUGUUUAAUGCUCUGCCACCUACAAAUAAGAAAAUAGUGAAAUCACUAAACUUCAGUCAAUCUCAUCUGACCUUGCCAACCUCAAGAACUGUCUCCAUAACAAUCAAAAGUGGUAAUACAUACCUACAAUGGCUUGUUUCCGGAGGAAUCCAUCUGCCAUAUUUCCACUGGCCCUUAAAAAUAUGCUAUCUAAGCAUUAUUCAUUUAGCUUAUGGAUUCGACUCUUCAAAUGUCGACUUUUUAGGAAUAUAAAAACCAAGAAAUAAUCAAUUUCUGUUUUUUUUUUUCAUAAAUAUAACUCAAAUAUUUCCCUCACAGGGAAAUGAGGAGAAAGGAUGAAUAUGCUGGCACCAACGGAGGGCUGGAUCAUCUGUACUGUGAGAGGCAUCUUCUGGGCAUGUGUGGCACUUCACUAUGGACAACUAAGCUCCCUCGGAUACCCACCUCUUGCGCAUCAUACAGGCCAAGAUUCAGUGUCUACCAUGUUGAACAACACCACUCUAGGCAGAGAAAGCAAGAUGAACAAAAAAGCACUGAAGAUCAAGAGAGUAUGAGAACUUGCUUUGGAGGUGGCCAUUUCUCUAGUCUGGCAGGAGUAAAGCUGGAUGAUAAAAUAAAGGAUGUCAGAUGUCUGGCUGUAAAUUUUGGGAUGGGAACUCUGACUACUGUCCAUCCAAGAUGUUCAAACAAAAAAAAGAAAGAGAAAAUAUUGCAUGAUUCAAUCGUGAAUAUCUUUCAUGGAAUGUGAGGAAUAGAAUCCAGGUCAGAUGAUUUUGUUUGUUUGUUUGAGAUUAAACCUUUGCAGAAAAUAACCC